UACGGAGGGGACUAGCGUUGCUCGGAAUCACUGGGCGUAAAGGGUGCGUAGGCGGGUCUUUAAGUCAGGGGUGAAAUCCUGGAGCUCAACUCCAGAACUGCCUUUGAUACUGAGGAUCUUGAGUUCGGGAGAGGUGAGUGGAACUGCGAGUGUAGAGGUGAAAUUCGUAGAUAUUCGCAAGAACACCAGUGGCGAAGGCGGCUCACUGGCCCGAUACUGACGCUGAGGCACGAAAGCGUGGGGAGCAAACAGG
rnacentral:rRNA from 1 species